AGAGUUUGAUCCUGGCUCAGGAUGAACGCUAGCGGCAGGCCUAACACAUGCAAGUCGAGGGAGAAGCCUUCGGGCUGAAACCGGCGCACGGGUGCGUAACGCGUAUACAAUCUGCCUUUCACAUAGGGAUAGCCCGAAGAAAUUUGGAUUAAUACCUAAUGGUAUAUAGGAGCGGCAUCGUUUUUAUAUUAAAGCUACGGUGGUGAAAGAUGAGUAUGCGUUCUAUUAGCUAGUUGGAGAGGUAACGGCUCCCCAAGGCGACGAUAGAUAGGGGUUCUGAGAGGGAUGUCCCCCACACUGGUACUGAGAUACGGACCAGACUCCUACGGGAGGCAGCAGUGAGGAAUAUUGGACAAUGGUCGGAAGACUGAUCCAGCCAUGCCGCGUGCAGGAUGAAGGUCCUAUGGAUUGUAAACUGCUUUUGUAAGGGAAGAAUAAGGAGUACGUGUACUUUGAUGACGGUACCUUACGAAUAAGCAUCGGCUAACUCCGUGCCAGCAGCCGCGGUAAUACGGAGGAUGCGAGCGUUAUCCGGAUUUAUUGGGUUUAAAGGGUGCGUAGGCGGCCUGUUAAGUCAGCGGUGAAAUCUAGGAGCUUAACUCCUAAAUUGCCAUUGAUACUGGCGGGCUUGAGUGUAGAUGAGGUAGGCGGAAUGCGUGGUGUAGCGGUGGAAUGCAUAGAUAUCACGCAGAACUCCGAUUGCGAAGGCAGCUUACUAAGGUACAACUGACGCUGAAGCACGAAAGCGUGGGUAUCAAACAGGAUUAGAUACCCUGGUAGUCCACGCUGUAAACGAUGAUAACUGGGCGUAUGCGAUAUACAGUAUGCUCCUAAGCGAAAGCGUUAAGUUAUCCACCUGGGGAGUACGCCGGCAACGGUGAAACUCAAAGGAAUUGACGGGGGCCC
rnacentral:rRNA from 1 species